UGUGUGUUCCCUAUACAGAGGAUGUGCCC
rnacentral:piRNA from 1 species